rnacentral:misc_RNA from 1 species
CACAUGGUUUGGCUGCCAUUUUGUUUUUCUGCCGAAGGGAAUUUGAGGAGUUUAUUGCCGUAAAACUUCUCUUUUUCAACCCAGCCAUGUCGAAACGAAGGCUAGACGUCGCUGGAAAUAUGAACAGUGGCUUAUCUACUGCUAAAAGGAUCAAAGAAGAGCUAAGUAAUCCUUCCAAUCUUCGAGGGAAAAUCAACCCCUACAAUGGCCGCCCGUUUUCUGACCGUUACUUUGACAUACUACGCAAGAGAAUUGAACUUCCAGUCUGGGAAUACAGAGAACAAUUUAUGGAAAUUGUCAAGAAAAAUAGAGUGCUUGCUCUUGUAGGUGAAACCGGAUCAGGAAAAACCACUCAGAUUCCCCAGUGGUGUUUAGAGGUGAGGACAGACAAAACCAAGAAAGUUGCUUGUACUCAGCCCAGGAGAGUAGCAGCAAUGAGUGUAGCGCAACGUGUUGCUGAUGAGUUAGAUGUAGUGUUGGGACAAGAAGUGGGUUAUACCAUUCGUUUUGAAGAUUGUACAGGUCCCAGAACAGCAAUGAAGUACAUGACAGAUGGUAUGUUGUUACGAGAAGCCAUGACAGAUCCUUUACUAGAACGAUACAGUGUAAUACUUCUUGAUGAGGCUCAUGAGAGGACACUAGCUACAGAUAUCUUAAUGGGUCUACUAAAAGAGGUUGUAAAACAAAGACAAGAUCUCAAGAUUAUUAUCAUGAGUGCUACCCUAGAUGCUGGAAAAUUCCAGGAAUACUUUGAUAAUUGUCCACUUAUGACCAUCCCAGGAAGAACACAUCCUGUAGAAAUCUUUUAUACUCCAGAGCCUGAAAGAGAUUACUUAGAAGCCGCAAUCCGUACUGUUAUUCAAAUACACAUGUGUGAAGACAUUCCUGGGGACAUCUUGUUGUUUCUGACAGGACAAGAGGAGAUUGAAGAAGCCUGUAAAAGAAUAAAGAAAGAAAUAGAGAACCAUGGCAUUGAUGUUGGAGAACUGAAGUGUAUUCCUCUCUAUUCCACCCUUCCUCCACAACAACAGCAGCGUAUAUUCGAACCAGCACCUCCCAACAGACCUAAUGGUGCUAUAGGACGCAAGUGUGUCAUAGCUACAAACAUUGCCGAAACGUCUUUGACUAUCGAUGGUGUGGUUUUUGUGAUUGAUCCUGGAUUCUCUAAGCAAAAAGUAUACAACCCUCGUAUCAGAGUAGAGUCUCUACUAGUGUCUGCUAUAUCCAGAGCUAGUGCACAGCAGCGUGCAGGUCGUGCAGGCCGUACUCGCCCAGGAAAGUGUUUUAGACUUUACACAGAGAAGGCUUAUCAAUCAGAGAUGCCUCAAAACACAUAUCCUGAGAUCCUGAGGUCUAAUCUUGGUACUGUUGUGCUACAGUUGAAGAAGCUAGGUAUUGAUGAUCUGGUACAUUUUGAUUUUAUGGAUCCUCCAGCUCCAGAAACUUUAAUGCGUGCUCUUGAACUCCUCAACUAUCUUGGAGCAUUGGAUGAUAAUGGUGACUUGACGGAACUCGGCAACAUGAUGGCAGAGUUUCCUCUGGAUCCACAGUUAGCCAAGAUGGUUAUCGCUAGUUGUGAAUUCAACUGUUCUAAUGAAAUUCUGUCUAUUACGGCUAUGCUGUCAGUUCCUCAGGUUUUCUUGAGACCAAAUGAAGCCAAAAAGGCUUCUGAUGAGGCAAGAAUGAAAUUUGCUCACAUUGAUGGUGACCACCUGACCCUAUUGAAUGUCUAUCAUGCCUUUAAACAGAAUCAUGAUGAUGCACAGUGGUGCUAUGACAACUUCAUCCAACAGCGUUCUCUGAAAUCUGCCGACAGCAUCCGAACACAGCUGGCACGUAUAAUGGACCGUUUCAAGAUGGCACGUAAGAGUACAGACUUCAACAGCCGUGACUACUACUUGAACAUCAGGAAGGCAUUGGUGUCUGGAUUCUUCAUGCAGUAUUGUAGAUACUGACCUAACAAUCUGUGAAUCCUACCCACCACCUACCCUUUCUCCCGCAACCCUACACUUUGUACUUCAAUGUACUGUGAGUAGGUGGCACAUCUAGAAAGAUCUGGACACUACUUGACAGUCAAGGACAAUCAGGUUGUGCAGCUUCAUCCAUCAACAUGCCUGGACCACAAGCCAGAGUUUGUAUUGUACAAUGAAUUUGUAUUAACUACCAAGAACUACAUCAGAACAGUC